CAAUAGCGUAUAUUAAAGUUGUUGCAGUUAAAAAGCUCGUAGUUGGAUUUGUGGCGUACGGUGUGUUCCGGGCACUUGUUGUCUGAGUAACCUGCUGUUGCCAUCCUUGGGUGGAACCUGUGUGGCAUUAGGUUGUCGUGCAGGGGAUGCCCAUCAUUUACUGUGAAAAAAUUAGAGUGUUCAAAGCAGGCUUAUGCCGUUGAAUAUAUUAGCAUGGAAUAAUGAGAUAGGACUUUUUUGCUAUUUUGUUGGUUUGCGCAAAGAGGUAAUGAUUAAUAGGAACAGUUGGGGGUAUUCGUAUUCCAUUGUCAGAGGUGAAAUUCUUGGAUUUUUGGAAGACGAACUACUGCGAAAGCAUUUACCAAGGAUGUUUUCAUUAA
rnacentral:rRNA from 1 species